rnacentral:rRNA from 1 species
ACGCUCGACACCUACGGAGGCAGCAGUGGGGAAUAUUGCACAAUGGGGGAAACCCUGAUGCAACAACGCCGCGUGAAGGAAGACGGUUUUCGGAUUGUAAACUUCUGUUCUUAGUGAAGAUAGUGACGGUAGCUAAGGAGCAAGCCACGGCUAACUACGUGCCAGCAGCCGCGGUAAUCUGAGCGGGCUGGCAAGGC